rnacentral:rRNA from 1 species
GCAAGUCGAAGGAGAAGGUAAUUGCUUGCAAUUACAGGAGACUGGCGGCGGGUGCGUAACGCGUAGAUAACCUGCCUUUGCCUGGGGGAUAACACUGGGAAACUGGUGCUAAUACCGCAUAAUGCAGCGGGGCCGCAUGGCCAUAGUUGUUAAAGGUUUCGGCCGGGUAAAGAUGGGUCUGCGUGCUAUUAGCUAGUUGGUAAGGUAACGGCUUACCAAGGCGAUGAUAGCUAGGGGGUCUGAGAGGAUGAUC